rnacentral:rRNA from 1 species
AUGCCAAUUAGGGGCAGGUCCCAAUGGCCCAAGGUAAAUCCUGGAUUUGAUAUGAUCCCUCCCAAGCUUACCAAAAGUGCUGGACGUCCAAGAACUAGGAGGAUAAGGAAUUACACCGAAGGUGGAACCGGCAGAAAACAUAAAUGCAAAAGGUGUGGAGCAUUAGGUCAUCUUCGGAAGACAUGCAAGGAGCCAGAGAUUGAAAGUGACGCGGACCGAGAUGCUACUCCUCCUCCACGGUAA